UGUAGUCAUAUGCUUGUCUCAAAGAUUAAGCCAUGCAUGUCUAAGUAUAAGCAAUUAUACCGCGAAACUGCGAAUGGCUCAUUAAAUCAGUUAUCGUUUAUUUGAUAGUACCUUACUACAUGGAUAACCGUGGUAAUUCUAGAGCUAAUACAUGCUAAAAAUCCCGACUUCGGAAGGGAUGUAUUUAUUAGAUUAAAAACCAAUGCCCUUCGGGGCUCUCUGGUGAUUCAUAAUAACUUCUCGAAUCGCACGGCCUUGCGCCGGCGAUGGUUCAUUCAAAUUUCUGCCCUAUCAACUUUCGACGGCUGGGUCUUGGCCAGCCAUGGUGACAACGGGUAACGGGGAAUG
rnacentral:rRNA from 1 species